GAUGAACGCUGGCGGCGUGCCUUAUACAUGCAAGUCGAGCGAACGCACGAGGAGCUUGGUCCUGUUGCUGUAGCGGGGGACGGGGGAGUGAAACGUAGCGAACCUAGCUAUAUGGCUGGGGUAACCUCGGGGAACGGUAGCUAAUUCCGGAUAAUAUUUCGAGGCGGAUGGUUCGAGAGUUUAAGACGGUGUUGCUAUAACUCAUAGGAUGACCUGCGCCGUAUUAGCUAGUUGGUAAGGUAACGGCUUACCAAGGCAACGAUACGUAGCCGACCUGAGAGGGUGAUCGGCCACACUGGAACUGAGACACGGUCCAGACUCCUACGGGAGGCAGCAGUAGGGAAUCUUCCGCAAUGGGCGAAAGCCUGACGGAGCAACGCCGCGUGAGUGAUGAAGGUCUUCUGAUCGUAAAACUCUGUUAUUAGGGAAGAACAAACGUGUAAGUAACUGUGCACGUCUUGACGGUACCUAAUCAGAAAGCAACGGCUAACUACGUG
rnacentral:rRNA from 1 species